GACGAACGCUGGCGGCGCGCCUAACACAUGCAAGUCGAGCGAAGCGGCGAACGGGUGAGUAACGCGUGAGGAACCUGCCUUAGACCUUGGGAUAGCCUCGGGAAACCGGGAUUAAUACCAAAUGGUCGAAGAUGGACUCGCGUCCCAUUAGCUAGGUGGUGAGGUAACGGCACACCAAGGCGACGAUGGGUAGCCGGCCUGGGAGGGUGAACGGCCACAUUGGAGCUGAGAAACGGGCGAAAAGCUACGGGAGGCAGCAGUGGGGAAUAUUGAACAAUGGAGGGAAGUCUGAGGCAGCGACGCCGCGUAAACGAAGAAGGCUUUCGAGUCGUAAAGUUCGUGUAUAUGGGAAACGGUACCAGAAGAAAAAGCCCCGGCUAACUACGUGCCAGCAGCCGCGGUAAUAC
rnacentral:rRNA from 1 species